GUACGGCCUACCANGNCGACGACGGGUAGCUGGUCUGAGAGGACGACCAGCCACACUGGAACUGAGAUACGGUCCAGACUCCUACGGGAGGCAGCAGUGGGGAAUAUUGCACAAUGGGCGAAAGCCUGAUGCAGCGACGCCGCGUGAGGGAUGACGGCCCUCGGGUUGUAAACCUCUUUCGGCAGGGACGAAGCGAAAGUGACGGUACCUGCAGAAGAAGUCCCGGCUAACUACGUGCCAGCAGCCGCGGUAAGACGUAGGGGACGAGCGUUGUCCGGAUUUAUUGGGCGUAAAGCGCGCGUAGGCGGCUAUGCAAGUCGGUUGUGAAAUCCCGGGGCUCAACCCCGGGACUGCGUCCGAUACUGUGUGGCUAGAGGUAGGUAGGGGAGAUCGGAAUUCCUGGUGUAGCGGUGAAAUGCGCAGAUAUCAGGAGGAACACCGGUGGCGAAGGCGGAUCUCUGGGCCUUACCUGACGCUCAGGCGCGAAAGCUAGGGGAGCGAACAGGAUUAGAUACCCUGGUAGUCCUAGCCGUAAACGUUGGGUGCUAGGUGUGGGCGGAUAU
rnacentral:rRNA from 1 species